rnacentral:misc_RNA from 1 species
UUGCCACCAAGAUGAUACGAGAAUAUGGUUUACUGCAGCAUAAGAAAGAUGGAAUGGAGUCGCAGAAAGCUGGAGGUUUGCAAAAUUCCUUUCUUUCUUCAGAGCUGAUAGUUAGUAGACCUGGCGGGACAGGAGAUCUGGAAAGGCUUCAGAAGAUGGCUCACUUUCUAGAGAUCAUACGGAAUCUGCAGUGGCAACUCACAUACAAAUGCAAAAGGCUAGGCCAGG